rnacentral:piRNA from 1 species
UAAGUUAUGGACUUGGAAGAAAAUAGA